UUGUCAUCAUCACUUUUAACCUUAAGUUAACUCAAUUUGAGAAAAAUGCGCUUUAAGUUUCAAGUUCAAUGUCUUUAUCCGGAUAAUUAAAAUCAGCACUGUAUAACUUUCAACAAAUUUAUCGGAGAGAACCUAAAAACUUCUGAAAUUAUUCUGACCUUGUGAUAGUGAAAUAUUGUUGAAGUUACUAUCGAAUUCUCAAAGUCGCAAUUGAAACGUCAAAAGAGGGAACCAAAAUGGUUGCGCUUUUUCAGAGGUUAACUUGCAGCGCAGGUAUGAAGUGAAUCUCCCAACAUGUUGUUUUACCGAUCUUUUGUACGCAGGGUUCUCUGAAUUACGCGCAGUAUUCCCCUCUCGACCAUUAAAUUGACCACUAAAUAAGCCGAAACAGUUCGUUCUCUGUAGUAAAAUUGCGGAUCAUUGUUGGAGGAAUAGUAUUGCUCAAACUUUCGAAAAAAAAGUGACUGGUGAAUUUUACAAGAUUUCACGUUGCGACUGUUGAGGGGAGCGGUGGCAACGUGGUUACUUCUCCACAUCUCAAUGAAAAAGUCGGAUAUUUGAAGCCCAACAUGUCCUGUGCUCGUUGGUUGAGGGUGAGGCAACAUUUACAAGCGCAGAAAAUUAGACCAAACAAUAUAUGAUGAAACAAACAUGAAUGUGUUUGUGGAAUCCAUUGACAAAAAGUAAGAUUGACUGCGGAAUCCACUGACAAAUUGUGGAAUGCAGUGACAAAAAGAACAAAUUGGUUGCGGAAUCCACUGACAAACAUUGUAAUACAUUGAAAUUUUGCUUCAAUUCACUUCAAGCGUAAACAUGCAUUUGUCUGUGGAAUCCUAAACAAAGCAUAACUUAGCACUUUUCUACAAAAUCAGCAUUGUCACAGGUUCAAAAUUUAAUUUUUAGCAACUACUGUUGAAACAAUUGUUCAUCGAUUCAAUCAAGUUUCCGACUUCAAAGGCUUUUCGAAAUGUUGCGAAAUCCAACGCAAUUUGAGCUGAUUCCAAGGACAAUGCAUGCGGAAUUCAAACCACUACCAGAGUACCCGAGCUUGGCUUUGUACUGCCGUUUGCAAGUCACUUCUAGCGAUAAAUAUCAGUUUUCUCUCUUUGCCGAUUAUUUUAUAAUGGUCUUUGUUUUCAAAAUGUGAAGCAGACGUAAACACGAAAUUGUUUAUUUCUCAAUCAUCUUUGAAAAUUAAACACUUUUCAGCUUGAUAUGAUGUAUUCGAGUUCAAUCAACUGUUAUUCACAAACAAAAGAUAAUCUUGCGAAGAUCAAGAUCAGAUUAUUUAUUUGUAUUCGCUAAAUGGCCUCGAUGGAAAAUAUUCAGUUUUUAAGCUGUAAUUUUAUUAUUUUGUUCACAUUUGAAGCCAUUUUUGGUAAGCUAUCCAAAGUUAUCAUCAAAUAGUUGCCAAGUCUAACGUUUCAGACGAAACUUCAGUUUUCUAUUUCCUUCAUAUUUAUUUCAACAAAAUUUUCAUGAUCUAAAAUGUAAUCUUAUUUUACCUUCGUAUACUAUACUUUUUCGAAACCCUUUAUGCACUCCAUGAGAUAAAGUAUAUUUCUUUUCACUGUUUAAAAAAAAACAUGAGCCUGUUUUGCCUCACCCACGUUUUAUAUUUGUCCUGCGUUUUCCUAAUUCAUUCCGCCGUCAAUUCCGAAGAUCGAAAAUCAAUUUCAGCAUCCCAAAAUAACGGAGAAAGUAUCAACUCCAUCGCCAAGAAAAAGUCACAGUCACUUAUCGUCAAUGGAUUGGAAACAUCCCCAAGAUUAUUCUACGCUAGGUUGGCAUUCAGAGAUUAUGUUCCGUUUUGUGGGGCUACAAUAAUUCACGAGCAGUUUGCACUGACUACUGCGUUCUGUGUAGGAAAUCACAGUGCGGAGAGCAUGGCCUUGGAAAUUAGAGAUUUCUCCCAGACUAAUUCACAGAAGUCGAUCUACUCGAUAGCAAAAACAUUCUUAUCUCCUGUUCUAGGCGACCAAUUCUUAAUGAACUUGGCCCUUCUGAAAACCGGGCGGAAGAUUCGAGGAAUAAGACGACGGAAGCUUCCGAUAUGUGCUGAGGGCAACAGAGACCUCCUUUAUCCCUGUGACCUUUACGGAGCUGCUGGAAUGGGGUCAAUUGUCACAACAAAGGAUGUGCAUUUAGUUCCUAUUAAAUUACAGGAAGCAUUUUUCCACACCACUGUUUUCGAAACUAAAAACUCUACUGAGCUUUGUCGUUUCGAUAUUGUGUGUACAAUUCCUGUUAUGCAACAAGCGAGUAUAUGUUUCAUGGACAAUGGUGGACCCUUUUAUAAAUUCAAGUACGGAACUUUCGAGCCUGAAUGUUUAUAUGGCGUAUCUAGCUACUUUACAAGUAAUGUUGAUACGCCAUCUGACUCAUGUAACAAUGGGAGUUAUUUUGUGAGAGUCGGCCUUUUUACAGACUGGAUAGAUUUUUGGAUUUAUGGUCCUCCAAAUUAUUCAUAAUUAAAAUGUA